AACGCGAAGAACCUUACCUGGUCUUGACAUCCACAGAACUUUCCAGAGAUGGAUUGGUGCCUUCGGGAACUGUGAGACAGGUGCUGCAUGGCUGUCGUCAGCUCGUGUUGUGAAAUGUUGGGUUAAGUCCCGCAACGAGCGCAACCCUUAUCCUUUGUUGCCAGCGGUCCGGCCGGGAACUCAAAGGAGACUGCCAGUGAUAAACUGGAGGAAGGUGGGGAUGACGUCAAGUCAUCAUGGCCCUUACGACCAGGGCUACACACGUGCUACAAUGGCAUAUACAAAGAGAAGCGACCUCGUGAGAGCAAGCGGACCUCAUAAAGUAUGUCGUAGUCCGGAUUGGGGUCUGCAACUCGACUCCAUGAAGUCGGAAUCGCUAGUAAUCGUAGAUCAGAAUGCUACGGUGAAUACGUUCCCGGGUCUUGUACACACCG
rnacentral:rRNA from 2 species